rnacentral:tRNA from 1 species
GGUUCCUUAGCCAAGUGGUAAGGCAAUAGACUGCAACUCUGUGAUCACCAGUUCGAAUCUGGUAGGAACCUCCA